UACGAAGGGUGCAAGCGUUACUCGGAAUUACUGGGCGUAAAGGGUGCGUAGGUGGUUUGUUAAGUCUGCUGUGAAAUCCCCGGGCUCAACCUGGGAAUGGCAGUGGAUACUGGCAAGCUAGAGUGCGGUAGAGGGUAGUGGAAUUCCCGGUGUAGCAGUGAAAUGCGUAGAGAUCGGGAGGAACACCAGUGGCGAAGGCGGCUACCUGGACAAAUACUGACGCUGAGGCGCGAGAGCGUGGGGAGCAAACAGG
rnacentral:rRNA from 1 species